rnacentral:rRNA from 1 species
GAUCUGGCUCAGAUUGAACGCUGGCGGCAUGCUUUACACAUGCAAGUCGAACGGCAGCACAGGGAGCUUGCUCCCGGGUGGCGAGUGGCGCACGGGUGAGUAAUACAUCGGAACGUGUCCUGUUGUGGGGGAUAACUGCUCGAAAGGGUGGCUAAUACCGCAUGAGACCUGAGGGUGAAAGCGGGGGAUCGCAAGACCUCGCGCAAUUGGAGCGGCCGAUGCCCGAUUAG